UUUUUGAAAUAAAAGCCACUGAAUGAGCUGGCCUCUAAACACAAUGCACUCCAAGGUUUUAAGUAAUAGUAAACAUUUUUUCAUUAAUUUAUUCAAGAAAGUUUUUGCAUGAAAGAUUUUUAUGAAAAUGAAAACAGCAAAUUGUAGUGAUUUAUUAGAUAUGUAUCUAUAUAUACCUAUUGUCACGAAAUAUUUACUUGUGCUGUGCUCAUUUAUUUUUUUUUUAAUUCCAUUUUCUACAAGAGAAUUGUACAUAAAUGUGAAGAUAUAGAUGGCAAACAUUUUUGUAUGUAUUUUUUAUUUUGUAGUAGCUAAAGGCAAUUUUUUCAUUUCUGUACAUACAUAGAAUUGGCUUACCUCAUACAUGUCAUGUAGAUCUCUAAAACUGUCAAUAAAGUAUGAAAAC
rnacentral:sRNA from 1 species